UACGUAGGGUGCAAGCGUUAAUCGGAAUUACUGGGCGUAAAGCGUGCGCAGGCGGUUGUGCAAGACAGAUGUGAAAUCCCCGGGCUCAACCUGGGAAUUGCAUUUGUGACUGCACGGCUAGAGUGUGUCAGAGGGGGGGUAGAAUUCCACGUGUAGCAGUGAAAUGCGUAGAGAUGUGGAGGAAUACCGAUGGCGAAGGCCAGCCCCCCUGGGAUAA
rnacentral:rRNA from 1 species